rnacentral:rRNA from 1 species
ACGGAAGGCAGCAGUGGGGAAUAUUGGGCAAUGGGCGAAAGCCUGACCCAGCAACGCCGCGUGAGGGAAGAAGGUUUUCGGAUUGUAAACCUCUGUCCUCAAGGAGGAAGGAAGUGACGGUACUUGAGGAGGAAGCCCCGGCUAACUACGUGCCAGCAGCCGCGGUAAUACGUAGGGGGCGAGCGUUGUCCGGAAUGACUGGGCGUAAAGGGCGUGUAGGCGGCCGAUUAAGUGUGGAGUGAAAGUCCUGCUUUCAAGGUGGGAAUUGCUUUGCAGACUGGUUGGCUUGAGUGCGGAAGAGGUAAGUGGAAUUCCCAGUGUAGCGGUGAAAUGUGUAGAGAUUGGGAGGAACACCAGUGGCGAAGGCGACUUACUGGGCCGUAACUGACGCUGAGGCGCGAAAGCGUGGGGAGCAAACAGGAUUAGAUACCCUGGUA